GCCCUCUAGAGCACUUGCAUUCCUUCUCCACAUCAAUUGGGCUUGUGGAGAAGUAGCUAUGGGAUAUCCUUCUAACAGUGCAAAUUUCUCCUUUACAGGUCUCCCAGUGACUCUAAUGAACAACAAAAAAUCCACUAUCUCCCCCAAAAUCCACUAAUUCCAAUGGUUCUGAGAGGAGUCAGGGCUACAAGCAGAGCCAUGUGUCCUCCAUCAGCCAUGCCCCCAGCCCAGGAUCAGACAUGCUGAGCCCCACACAGGAUUUGUGCCAUGUGCAGAGAGGUGGCCAUGCUGUGGGGCCAUGCUAUCCCACCUGCCUGCAUGGUGCUCAGGUAUAAGGGAGGUGCUCAAGUUUGAGAUGCACACAAGUGCCUCAUCCAUGGGCAACGUGUGCAUCUCCCUGCCUUUGUGGCAAAGAAACUAAGCUGCGACAGGCUUGUAGCAGGGUGCAUGGGGCGCAGAGAAUGCUGCACUGACCAGACCACAGGAGCCAUAAAUGUGACCCAUAAAGGCCUCCUUGAAGGACAGCUGUGUAGUUAAGAACUGGGGACUUCCUGGAGCUACCAUCAAUAGGGAAAAAUUCAACACACUAACAGAAACUUAUCACCUGAGCAGAGGCUGGAUAAUCGUUUAGGACCCAACACCCCAAGGUGCCCACACCUGGAGGUUGACUGCCUCAGCAAGUGGCAGCAGCCAGACACAAGAGCCAACAUCUUUUCUCAGCUGCUGUCAACAGAUGCUUCCCCUUUUCCCUUUGCUGUCCAUAACUUCCCCCUCCAUGGCAAUAAAGAAGCAGAGCAGGGCACGCAUCCCUGCUCUCCUGCCUUGUUUUAUCUUGUGAGUUCUUUGUGCCACUUAGGACAACACAGUAAAGCACUCUAUUGCAGAUAAAAUACGACCGCCUGACACCACUACAUCUCAGUCACAGCAGUCCCUGGUAACUGCCUUUCUGUGGAUGUGGCAUAAAUUCAAGUCCUGAAAAGAGCUUAGGACUGAAGAAUUUUUGGCCUGCUUGCAGCUUUGUGCAUG
rnacentral:lncRNA from 1 species